CCUACGGGGGUCAGCAGUGGGGAAUAUUGGACAAUGGGCGAAAGCCUGAUCCAGCCAUGCCGCGUGUGUGAAGAAGGCCUUCGGGUUGUAAAGCACUUUCAGUGGGGAAGAAAGCCUUGGGGCUAAUACCCUCGAGGAAGGACAUCACCCACAGAAGAAGCACCGGCUAACUCCGUGCCAGCAGCCGCGGUAAUACGGAGGGUGCGAGCGUUAAUCGGAAUUACUGGGCGUAAAGCGCGCGUAGGCGGUCUGAUAAGCCGGUUGUGAAAGCCCCGGGCUCAACCUGGGAACGGCAUCCGGAACUGUCAGGCUAGAGUGCAGGAGAGGAAGGUAGAAUUCCCGGUGUAGCGGUGAAAUGCGUAGAGAUCGGGAGGAAUACCAGUGGCGAUGGCGGCCUUCUGGACUGACACUGACGCUGAGGUGCGAAAGCGUGGGUAGCAAACAGGAUUAGAUACCCGAGUAGUC
rnacentral:rRNA from 1 species